ACAUGGGCAGAGUAUAGGGUCAGAGUAAAGAAGAACCCUUUAAAUCAAAUAACUGAAUUGUACUAGUUCAAUUUGUCCUUAUUUUUCCCAUUUUGUUACAGGUCCUGUGCAAAGCAUUGCCUCAGCACCAGUUUAUGGAGAUGGAUGAAGGAACCUUAUAUUUUCACUCUGAAGAGCUGAUGUUCCCCAAGUCUAACAAUCACAUAUGUGUCCAGUGUCUCAAGAACUGUCCUGGACAGCCACAAACCCUCAGGACUUUCAACACUACACCAGAAACUCACACUGUCUUCCAGAGACCCAAGAUUUGCAUGUCUUUGGCUACUUGUGCUGGGAAGUCACUCUUAAGACUAAAGCAAGUCCCUCACACUACCUUUUAAGCCCCGCCUUCUCCUCAUCAAGUAUUCAAGUGCCUAUAUGUACACACAGUACAUGCCAUAUACGCAGUUCCUAGAGCUUGCUGUUCCACAGGGGAGAUGGACAAUUACCACAGAAGGUAAGGAGGGCCGGGUCAAGGGUAAGGCGGGGUGAGUUCGGUCACAUCACGGUGGCUAACUUCUUUUUGAGAGGGACAAGUAGGUGUCUCUUCCCCUGAGAGCCUAAGUUCACUUAAACUCACUGAAGUUUAAGUGAUAGUUUUCGGGGUGAGGUAGAGGUGGAGAAAGAGGUCAUAAAAUUUGAUGGUCUCUGGGACCUAGGAGAACAGAAUAGGCAAAGACUUGGAAGCAGCACAUGUUCUUUGGUGUGGCUAGCACCUAAAUGAUGAGGGAUGGGCAAAAGAUGAGGCUGGGAAACGAGGCCAGGUCAGGACGGGGAGAGCCCCGUCAGCCUGGCCAGGGGGUGUGGACUUGAUCUAAAAGGUCAGAGAAACCCUCGAAGGGCUUCCCCACGGGCAGGUUGGGUGCAGAAUUUGAAAAGCUCGUUAUGGACAUGGCACCCUUGCAUUUGUCUUGCCCUGAGCUAUGCAGUCAAUGAUGUUUCUCUGAACUCCACAGCCGCCCCUUCCCUUUCCUCAAUGGCCCAGUCUCCCAGCUUUCCACUGACUUUAAAUCACCUUUGUUCCAAUCCAUAGACCCAAGAACAAAACUGGGCCCUCAGUCAAAAAGCAUAUGUUUUCUUUUGAUCUGGACAGAGCUUAGGUUAGUGGGGCUUGUCAAUGAAAAGCGACUAGAAAGUAAUUUGGGGCAAUACAGUGCCUUGGAGGACACGUUAGCAUCUAAAUUACUUUGUCAGAGUGGAGAACCCAGGAGACAGGUGCCAUCGGGGGCUGUGUCGAUGUGUUUAAACGUGGGGAGAACUCACUUUUUCUUCGUGUAGUUUACAGGCAGGAAGGGAGUAAUUUGUAUAUCGAAGAUGGCCAUCUGCAGUUAACAUCUGGAUUUUCACUUAUAUUCGAUCCAACCCAUGGAGUUUCUUCUGAUACACUUUGCCAGACAAAUCGUAUGCUAACUUUGGGGAAUGGCUAGGUCCAAGUAGGCCAAAGGAGAAUUUUAAAAGUAGCCUUUCCAUCUGCCCCCUCCUGGCUUUAUGUGCCCUAGAAAACACUCAGCAGCACUUCCCAGAAACCACAGAGACAGAAGUGAAACUACACCGUCCUCCGUGAGGCCACCCUGAAUCACUUCUUUGUACAAGAUCAUCCACCAGACACCGAAGCCUCCGUGCCCGAUCUUCACUCCCCCAAAUGCCUUCAGAAUGGAAAUUCCCAGGUUCCUGCACAUCCGAGCCAGAGUACACAUGAAAGCGUCGUAUAAAGGUGCUAGAGAACUGAAAUGCUCUGCAACAGACAAGAAAAGAGUGUCACCUCACAAUCCGACAGCUAAAAACAGAGCUCGCCUCAGCUACAGCCCCAGCCCCAGGAUGGAAGUACACCUUUACUCAGUCACGAAGCUGCUUAUGUGGGUGAGGUACUCUCUGAGGUCCAGAAGACAAGAAACCUGGUCAGAAAUUUGAUAUAAAGCGAUGAGUGUCUUGAGAGGUCCAGUGAAGUGCCAUGGCAGUCCUUUCAGCUGGAACAAUCAGACAAGGCUUCCAGGAGGAGGUGGCAUUUGUGAUGCUCCUUGAGUGAAGAUGGUAAAAUUUGGAAGAGGCAGAAUAGAUAAGAGCAGAUUUUGAACCCACUGUAGGGGGCCUCAUGCCUGCGAUGCAGGAGAGGAAUACAGAGUGAGUGAACCUCUAGGAAGUGGUAGGGGAGCGAUGCUAGAGAACUGAGGAGGAAAGCAGACUCGGGGGAACUGGUUUUGUAAUGAACUGUGAGGACAGGGAGCCUGGCACACCACAGGCACUUGACGAAUGUCGCGAUGGGAACGAAACCCUCCUUUCUAACGCAAGGCUCUGUGCCUACGGCUUUCCAAGAAGCACGAUGGAACGGACAUACGGAAACAGUAACAGAAAGCAGUGCUUUCAACUAUUUGUUUUACAGAAUGCAGGGUGAAGCUGCAAAAGGAUGUUUAGCACCACGAAAAGUAGGCCAAGGGUAAGAAAAACUCCCCAUACCCAAGAGAAUUCAGCUGACCAAAUUAAGUCUGAUCCAGAAUAAACAGUUCUCAUCUGGAGAUCUGGCAGUUCAGAAAGUUCUGUCCAAGGGCAAAAAGGAGGCUCAGGAUGCUGAUCUGCAUAACUACGUAAGCCUUUAGGAAACAGGGAAGAGCUGCUGCGGUGCCGUGCGUGAGGACACUCCAAUGAGAGAAAAUAACAGUUCUCAGGCCUCAAGAGAAACUAGGCUCCCAUGCCCUUUCCAUGAACUUGACCAACCUCAGUCAGUUUUCCCCAUGCUCACCCAGCAUUCAAGGCCUAAAACAAGGUUUCCAUUAUCAAAUCCCUCCAAUAGAAAUAACUUUCAGAAUCAUGUGAGCACUGGAGCUCAUGUGAAGGGAAACAAGUUUAGCUAUUACAAA